GCCGUCAUAGCUCAGUUGGGAGAGCGACAGACUGAAGAUUACAUAAGAUAUUGUGAAAUUCGGUUUCUGCAGGUCACCCGUUCGAUCCGGGUUGACGGCA